rnacentral:lncRNA from 1 species
AGGAGUAUGCGUGUCAGAAGCCAGGGGUGAUUGUGUUUUUUCUCCUUCCUCUUUCUUUAGGUCAGGAAGAUUCCUGCAGCUGCUGAGUUAGUACUUUUAAGAAAGUACUGGAUUCCCUCUCACAAUGGGACUUUGAUUUUUUUAAGAAAAAGGUUUCAUAAGUUUUCAAAUAACCUGGAGCAGUUGAGCAAACUUAAUGUGCAGCGUGGUCCCUGCUGGCUGGGUUUGAGGGGCUGGGUCUCUCUGAGUGGAUGCUGGUGAGGUGCAGAGGAAGAAGAAAAGGUGCCUGAGGGCCUGUGUGGAAGGCCUGUCACACAGCACAUCCUGGGAAAUCUGUCCAGGAAGCAGCCAGGCGGGCAUCAGCCAGGCGGGCAUCAGCAUCUUCACUGUGCAGAUGAGAAACUGAGGCCGCAGAGGUGAAGGGACAUGCCCAGGAUCACUAAGCAGCGUUUCAGCAUCUCUAUAAAACCCUCACAGGUGAUCCCUAGAAACACAGCCAGUGGCCCGGAAGCUGCACUGUUUUGUGCACCGCAGGGAUGGGCACAGAUGGGGCUGCCUGCCCUCCUCCUGGAAGGAGGGAGAACCCAGUCUGGCCUGGAGUGGUCAAGAGCUAACUCUAGACUCAGCAAGACCUACUUCUCUCUCCUGCCCCUACUUCCUUGCUGCUGACCUGGGCAAGUCGCUGAAGCCUCUCCGUGCCUCAGUCUGCUCGUGCGUAAGAUGGGCACAGGGCACACUGCCUACUUGAUUGGGCUCAACCACGUGCAGUAAGUAGCUGGUGUCUGGCAAGAGCCCUCAGGAAACAGUAACCCCAUUAAUUCAAAUGCACGUGCCUGGAACAGGCUCUGGGGGGCCAGCCCGGGAGUCCCACUCCAUGAUGGCCACCCUGGGGCCUGGCAGGCUGGGCUGGCAUCCCAGGCCCACCGGAUACUGGCUGUGCACCCCGGCCAGGCCACACAUCUCUGAGCCUCACUUUCCCGUGUGUGAGAUGAGGCUAGAAGCUGCUUUCUCUUGCGUGUGUGGGGAUUGGCGGUGACAACACGGCCAGGAGCCCAGGCCCAGCCUACGCGAGCAGCCUCGCUCCAGGCCACACGCCCCACUCCUGACAGCUCUGUGCAGCGAGUUCGUGCGCCCGUGUCAGCGUUUG